rnacentral:rRNA from 1 species
AUACGGAGGAUCCGAGCGUUAUCCGGAUUUAUUGGGUUUAAAGGGUGCGCAGGCGGCCAUUUAAGUCAGCGGUUAAAUCGUGGGGCUCAACCCCAUUCUGCCGUUGAUACUGGGUGGCUUGAUUGCGGUCGAGGUUGGCGGAAUUCGUUGUGUAGCGGUGAAAUGCAUAGAUAUGACGAAGAACACCGAUUGCGUAGGCAGCUGACCAGACCGCAAAUGACGCUCAUGCGCGAAAGUGCGGGGAUCGAACAGGAUUAGAUACCCUGGUAGUCCGCACAGUAAACGAUGAAUACGUGUUUUCGGCGAUAUAAUGUCGGAGGCAAAGCGAAAGCGAUAAGUAUUCCACCUGGGGAGUACGCCGGCAACGGUGAAACUCAAAGGAAUUGACGGGG